rnacentral:rRNA from 1 species
CAGGUGUAGCAAUACAUGCUGACGAGCGGCGAACGGGUGAGUAAUGCUUCGGAAUCUUCCCAGUAGUGGGGAAUAACUAGCCGAAAGGUUAGCUAAUACCGCAUACGUCCUACGGGAGAAAGCAGGGGAUCGCAAGACCUUGCGCUAUUGGAUGAGCCGAAGUCGGAUUAGCUAGUUGGUGAGGUAACGGCUCACCAAGGCGACAAUCCGUAGCUGGUCUGAGAGGACGACCAGCCACACUGGGACUGAGACACGGCCCAGACUCCUACGGGAGGCAGCAGUGGGGAAUAUUGGACAAUGGGGGAAACCCUGAUCCAGCGACGCCGCGUGUGUGAAGAAGGCCUGCGGG